rnacentral:lncRNA from 1 species
CUUCAGGCACAAAAGCACAACCCACCAGGCUGGGUGCCCACGAACCAUGGGGAGAGUUGCAGGCCGCAAGCCAGAGCCAAUGCCUAUCCCUGUGGGGACUCUCAGCUCACACACACCCCCUCACUGCCUGGCAGAGGGCCCAGAAGAGCCCCACAGUGGUGGUUGCUUCCUUCCUCACCAGUCACGGGGAUUGUGGCUCCUAUCCCCAAGCUGAGCCUGGGUCACACAGCUCACUGUGCCUGCUGCAGGAGCCCAGAGCCCAGCACCAGCAUGUGACCGGUGGUUUGUGUGCUGACAGCCCUGCUCUUCCUCCUAGUUCCCGCCAGGACUCUGGAUAAGAUGACACUGCUACCCCUGACUGUGGGGACCUGUGGGCCGCUACUGCACAUGUGAGGUGGGAGGAGAGUGGAUCUCCUUCAAAACUUCUGAGAGGCCCAGGUGAUUGAGCUGUGACAAGUGGCAGAGACAGGAGAGGCCCAGCUGUCUGGACAGUUGCCCACAUUCCAAUCUCAGGAUGCUUUGACUGCAAAGCUAGGAACCAGUAAAUCCAACAGCACCUGGCCUGGUGGCCAUGCUGGUGCUGUUCCUGCACUUGGCCCUGCAAUGGCUCAAAGGAACGGGACCCAAAAGAGACACGGCUUGCUUAACACCCCAUCUUAGCAACAUCAUGCAGCUCUUUCUGCAGUCACUGGCCUUUCCUCCUUAGCUGCCAGAACCCCACAUUGCAGAGGAAGCCUGUGCACAGUGAAGGGGAUGUGGAACCUGGGAGCCAGUCCCCAGCACUGUCACUGGGCCAUAGCUGCUGAGAGGAAAGGGCAGCCUGGCCAGAGUAAGCACAGUGGCCAUUGGGAGCCAUGGGCCUGGCCUGCGGCUCUGCAACUCUUCAAAUUAAGGAACCAACAAAGCAUCAGGUGAGAAAGCAGAUGCCAUGCCUGUGCAGAGCUCUACAAGGCAAGCGGUUGUUGUCAUUCUCAUGCCAUGGUGCCGUGCAGAUGUUGCAUGUGCAUGGUACAUGCAUGGAAGCCGUGAUUGGCAGGGGCCCAGAAAACCUGCAUCAUCUAUUCUUGUCCUUGGUCUGAGGCGCCUCUCACCUGUCUUACCAAUCUCACAUUUCUGGGGCUUCACUAUGGAAGCCUCUUCUGCUAUGCAGAAAUCCGGGUGUCUGUGGGGGCUGGUUCUCCUCAGAUGGGUGCCCUCCUUGUGCGUGACAACAGAUGAGCUAUAUUUCAAAACAAAGUGCUGUGUUAUAAUCAUCUGCCUGAAUUCCCAGGGUAUCUUUUACCUGACUUGAUAACAAUGUUCUUCAUUAGCAGCGUUUGUUAACUGAUAACCUGAAGCAGUAACUUGGUAUUCAUAAGCAAUUUUCUGUAUGUAAGAUAGAAUAAACCAUCUUGUAAGGGAUCUGUUAAUUGAUUUGCUUCUUUUAGCAGCAUUUUAAUUAAGGCAUCUGGUUUUGGAGGGCAGAAAUAGUUGUG